UAGUCCAUGUUGGCUCCGUGAGAUUAUGUCAAGAGUACAAAGAGAUAACAAAUGUUUUAUUCUUGUUUCAUCUUUUCUCAGGCUCGAUGUUAAUGUUCCCAGACCCACCGCCUCUGAUGCAGCAGUGUCAAACAUCUCACUCACACUGUCACAUUUCUCAGACGUGGCCUCAAGCAGCACUGAUUUAUGCAACUUUCUUAAUGAGUAUUACACUAUCAGACGACGUACAGAAAUGUAAGUGUACCUAAAACCCUUUUUCCAAGCUAGUUAUAGCAGUCAGUACUGCUACACCGUAUUUGCGCUCUACUCUUAAUCUCUAAUCAGUUUGUAAACACCAUUAUCCAGCAGUAGUCAAUAUUUAAUCUAGUAAUGCUAUGUACCCAAUCGCUUUGGUACAUUUCUCAAAUCAGAAAUACAAUUCUCGAAACUGUUUGGUCAACCUCCACAUGUGCGUGUCUGUGUGUGUGUGUGUGUGUGUGUGUGUGUGUGUGUGUGUGUGUGUGUGUGUGUGUGUGUGUGUGUGUGUGUGUGUGUGUGUGUGUGUGUGUGUGUGUGUGUGUGUGUGUGUGUACGUGUGAGUUUAUUUGUUUAUGUGUAUGUUAUAUUUUUGUGUAUGUUAUUGUAGAAGUCCAGAGUGUGCUGCUCUCCUCUCCUCUCUGGCCUCCCUGUCUGGUCUGGAGAUCAUAGAGAUGGAGAUGAGCUGCCUGACUGUGAAUUGGGCGGCCAGGAUCCUGUGCCUUCUCACCAGCUGCCCCAGUCUAAAGGAAGUACAGCUUGUGGAGCUUGAGUGUGAGUGGAUGAAAUACAGACAGUGGGCGCCUAAAGAGACAGGAAGUAGAGUGGAGAGUCUCUGUUCAUCUCUUUCUGUUAAAAAACAUGACAGCAGUCUGGAUAUCACACUUGACACAGCACUAAACGCAGUGGGUCUGGAUAUCACACUUGACACAGACACAGCACGAAACGCAGUGCAGUCACACAUCUCGUUCACCCUCUCAACUUCCUCAGAGGUGGAAUACACGGACUUAAGAGAUUUUCUUCAGAAACUGCUCAACCUGAAGUAUUCAACACAGCAAAGUGAAGAACAUCUUGAAAGUCUACGUUCUUUCUUGCACUCUUCACCUGGUGUGGGGGAGGUGGACUUGGAUUUCAGAUACAUCCCUGACCCCUGGGCCACAGCCAUCCUCUCCCUCCUCCACACCUCCUCCACUCCAGAUGAAACGCAGUAAGACCUUAAGUGUUUGUGUGUCUCUACAUCCCUUUGGACUGCUAUUUGUUAGAUGAUGGGAAGCCACGUCCAGCAAAGUAGUAAAUUACUAAAACUGACUAGCAAAGUAGAGGAAGUGGGUAUUAUUACACCUGUCGUGCUAUAUAUGAACUGAAGCUUAUAUCAAAAUGAAGUCACUUUAUCUAUUUAGCACAUUUAAAAAGAACAGGAGUUGUAAAUCUAAUGCCUAGUAACUCCAGCCCUGUAACUGCAAGAUUGUUGUUGCUUAACAACAUACUGCCUCUGCAAAGCACACAAUAAAAGCAGAGGAAGGUUGGUCA
rnacentral:lncRNA from 1 species